rnacentral:rRNA from 1 species
UACGUAGGGUGCGAGCGUUGUCCGGAAUUACUGGGCGUAAAGGGCUCGUAGGUGGUUUGUCGCGUCGUCUGUGAAAUUCCGGGGCUUAACUCCGGGCGUGCAGGCGAUACGGGCAUAACUUGAGUACUGUAGGGGUAACUGGAAUUCCUGGUGUAGCGGUGAAAUGCGCAGAUAUCAGGAGGAACACCGAUGGCGAAGGCAGGUUACUGGGCAGUUACUGACGCUGAGGAGCGAAAGCAUGGGUAGCGAACAGGAUUAGAUACCCUGGUAGUCCAUGCCGUAAACGGUGGGCGCUAGGUGUGAGGGUCUUUUCACGACUUUCGUGCCGUAGCUAAUGCAUUAAGCGCCCCGCCUGGGGAGUACGGCCGCAAGGCUAAAACUCAAAGGAAUUGACGGGGGCCCGCACAAGCGGCGGAGCAUGUGGAUUAAUUCGAUGCAACGCGAAGAACCUUACCUGGGCUUGACAUACACCGGAUCGGGCUAGAGAUAGUCUUUCCCUUUGUGGCUGGUGUACAGGUGGUGCAUGGUUGUCGUCAGCUCGUGUCGUGAGAUGUUGGGUUAAGUCCCGCAACGAGCGCAACCCUUGUCUUAUGUUGCCAGCAUUUGGUUGGGGACUCAUGAGAGACUGCCGGGGUCAACUCGGAAGAAGGUGGGGAUGACGUCAAAUCAUCAUGCCCCUUAUGUCCAGGGCUUCACACAU